rnacentral:rRNA from 1 species
CAAGUGAAGGGUUUGAUCCUGGCUCAGAACGAACGUUGGCGGCGUGGAUGAGGCAUGCAAGUCGAACGCGAAAGCCGCAAGGCGAGUAAAGUGGCGGACGGGCGAGUAACACGUAAUCAAGCUGC